rnacentral:rRNA from 1 species
GGAUGCGAUCAUACCAGCACUAAAGCACCGGAUCCCAUCAGAACUCUGAAGUUAAGCGUGCUUGGGCGAGAGUAGUACUAGGAUGGGUGACCUCCUGGGAAGAACUCGUGUUGCAUUCC